AGAGAUGUGUGAUGACGCAUAUCAAUAAGCGGAGGAAAAGAAACUAACAAGGAUUCCCCUAGUAACGGCGAGUGAAGCGGGAAGAGCUCAAAUUUGAAAUCUUAAAGGGUUUCCCUUUACGAAUUGUAGUUUAAAGGAGUGUUUUCUGUUGGAGUUUCGGUAAAAGUUCUUUGGAAUAGGACAUCAUAGAGGGUGAGAAUCCCGUAUUUGACCGUUACUUUCCAGCUGUGUGAUACACUUUCAAAGAGUCGGAUUGUUUGGGAAUGCAGUCCAAAAUGGGUGGUAAAUUUCAUCUAAAGCUAAAUAUUGGCGAGAGACCGAUAGCGAACAAGUACCGUGAGGGAAAGAUGAAAAGAACUUUGAAAAGAGAGUUAAACAGUACGUGAAAUUGUCAAAAGGGAAGCGUUUGACACCAGUGUUGCUUUUCCGAAAAUCAAUUACGAAUGUUUUGUUUUUAAGAAGUUAUGACUUCAUCGGCUUGCUUCUUUCUUUACGAAACUUUCUUAAUGCACUUUUCGGUUAACAAGUCAACAUCAAUUUCUUUUGUUGUAAAAGGGUAUGAGGAAGGUGGCUUUCUUUUCGGAGAAAGUGUUUAUAGCCUUGUACCUCUGCAAUCGGAGAGAUUGAGGUCUGCAGCGUAGAUCCUUCGGGAUUAGAUACAUUUGUGCUAAGUUAUAGCUUUUCAUAGACAACUUGUUGACUAUGUUUAGUCUUGUAGCUUACUCGCUUAUGCUAUUUUACCUACGCUUAGGAUGUUGAUCUGUAGUGCGUGCGC
rnacentral:rRNA from 1 species